CGCAAGCCUGACGGAGCAAGACCGCGUGGGGGAGGAAGGCCUUUGGGUUGUAAACCCCUUUUCUUUGGGAAGAACAAAAUGACGGUACCAAAGGAAUCAGCCUCGGCUAACUCCGUGCCAGCAGCCGCGGUAAUACGGAGGAGGCAAGCGUUAUCCGGAAUUAUUGGGCGUAAAGCGUCCGCAGGUGGCUUGUCAAGUCUGCUGUCAAAGACUGGGGCUUAACUCCGGGCAGGCAGUGGAAACUGACAGGCUAGAGUGCAGGAGGGGUAGAGGGAAUUCCCGGUGUAGCGGGGAAAUGCGUAGAGAUCGGGAAGAACAUCGGUGGCGAAAGCGCUUUGCUAGACCGAAACUGACACUCAGGGACGAAAGCUAGGGGAGCG
rnacentral:rRNA from 1 species